rnacentral:rRNA from 1 species
GACGAACGCUGGCGGCGUGCCUAAUACAUGCAAGUCGAACACAGUGGGGACGGGUGAGUAACACGUGGGUAACCUCCCAUCAGAGGGGAUAAAACUUGGAACCAGGUGAUAAACCGAUAAUGAUGGAUGGACCCGCGGUGCAUUAGUUAGUUGGUGAGGUAACGGCUCACCAAGGCCAGGAUGCAUAGCCUGCCUUAUGGUGUGAUCGGCCACACUGGGACGUAUACACGGCCCAGAAUCCUACGGGAGGCAGCGGUAGGGAAUCUUCGGCAAUUGGGGGAUCCCUGACCGAGCAACGCUGCGUGAGUGAGUAAGUUUUUCGGAUCUGAAAGCUCUGUUGUGAAGGAAGCGGUACUUAACCAGAAAGGGACGACUGACUACGUGCCAGCAGCCGCGGUAAUAC